rnacentral:rRNA from 1 species
GGCUUAUUGAUAAUAAUUUUAGGUCUAUCUGCCCAAUGAUUUAAAUUUAAUGGCUGCAGUAUAGUUGACUGUACAAAGGUAGCAUAAUCAAUUGUUUUUUAAUUGAGAACUAGAAUGAAUGAGUUAAUGAGAUAUAUACUGUCUCAUAUAUAUAUAAUGAAAUUAAAUUUUUAGUAAGAAUGCUAAAAUUUAUUUAUGGGACGAUAAGACCCUAUAGAAUUUUAUAUUUAUUUUUAGAUUUAUUUAAUUUUGAAAGUGAAUAUUUGAUUGGGAGGAUUGGUAAAUUGAAAUAACUUUACUUUAAAUAUAACCUUUGAUUAAAGAAUUAUUUUUGAUCUUUUAUUAAAAAUUAUAAGAAAAAAUUACCUUAGGGAUAACAGCGUAAUAUCUUUUUAGAGAUCUUAUUGAAAAAGAUGAUUGCGACCUCGAUGUUGAAUUAAGAUAAAUUUUAAAUGGAGAAGUUUAAUAAUUGAGUCUGUUCGACUUUUAAAAUCUUACAUGAUUUGAGUUCAAAUCGACGUGAGU